rnacentral:rRNA from 1 species
GACGAACGCUGGCGGCGUGCCUAAUACAUGCAAGUCGAACGCAGUGGGGACGGGUGAGUAACACGUGGGUAACCUCCCAUCAGAGGGGAUAACACUUGGAAACAGGUGCUAAACCGCUACUGAUGGAUGGCCCCGCGGUGCAUUAGCUAUUUGGUGAGGUAACGGCGCACUAAGGCCACGAUGCAUAGCCUACCUGAGAGUGUGAUGUGCCACACUGGGACUGAGAUACGGCCCAGACUCCUGCGGGAGACAGCAGUAGGGGAGCUGCGGCAAUGGACGAAAGUCUGACCGAGCAACGCCGCGUGAGUGAAGAAGGUUCUCGGAGCGUAAAACUCUGUUGUUAGAGAAGCGGUAUCUAACCAGAAAGCCACGGCUAACUACGUGCCAGCAGCCGCGGUAAUAC